rnacentral:rRNA from 1 species
UAAGGAAUAUUGGUCAAUGGACGAAGUCUGAACCAGCCAUGCCGCGUGGAGGAUGAAGGUCCUCUGGAUUGUAAACUUCUUUUAUCUGGGACGAAAAAAGGUCUUUCUAGAUCGUCUGACGGUACCAGAUGAAUAAGCACCGGCUAACUCCGUGCCAGCAGCCGCGGUAAUACGGAGGGUGCAAGCGUUAUCCGGAUUCACUGGGUUUAAAGGUGCGUAGGUGGGUUGGUAAGUCAGUGGUGAAAUCUUCGAGCUUAACUCGGAAACUGCCAUUGAUACUAUCAGUCUUGAAUAUUGUGGAGGUUAGCGGAAUAUGUCAUGUAGCGGUGAAAUGCUUAGAUAUGACAUAGAACACCAAUUGCGAAGGCAGCUGGCUACACAUAUAUUGACACUGAGGCACGAAAGCGUGGGGGAUCAAAACAGGAUUAGAUACCCUGGUAGUCCACGCCCUAAACUAUGGAUACUCG